GACGAACGCUGGCGGCGUGCCUAACACAUGCAAGUCGAGCGAAUGAAGUUUCUUCGGGAACGGAUUUAGCGGCGGACGGGUGAGUAACACGUGGGCAACCUGCCUCAUAGAGGGGAAUAGCCUUCCGAAAGGGAGAUUAAUACCGCAUAAGAUUGUAGUACCGCAUGGUACAGCAAUUAAAGGAGCAAUCCGCUAUGAGAUGGGCCCCGCGGCGCAUUAGCUAGUUGGUGAGGUAACGGCUCACCAAGGCGACGAUGCGUAGCCGACCUGAGAGGGUGAUCGGCCACAUUGGGACUGAGACACGGCCCAGACUCCUACGGGAGGCAG
rnacentral:rRNA from 1 species